rnacentral:lncRNA from 1 species
AAAAACUGGGAACAGAGGAAAAAACGAGAUUGAGAGAAAAUGAGAAAGAAGGGAAUCUGAAAAUAAAAAUCAGCACUAAACAACCAUCUCUUUGAUACCAUUAACGUCACUUUUGCUCCUUCUUUAACCAUCUCCUUCAUUCCUUUUUCACCACUGUUUUCAGCUAUUAAAAGCGGUUUUCCAUCUCCAUAAACCACCACAGUCCUCCUCUCGAUAAGGUGUGUCAAGGUGAUUCGAGUUAUUUUCGGUUCUGUUUAAAAGACGAGAUUGCCGUUCAAGUUUUGCGACAAAGGUUCUUGUCCGCUUCUUUUGAUAAGUUUAACUUUUGCUAAUUGAAAGAUACUCCUGUACAAGUCUUGCCUUAUCAAUAUUGAAGAAAGUUUACUUCGUUGAGGUAACAAUUUUUAUAGUCUCUGUCUAUUGAAGCUUUCAAAUACGUGCUUGAUUAGUUAUAUAAAGCUCGUGAAACUAGGUUUAAAAUUUAGUUUACAAUCAUCUAUACCAUGGUUCAUUUUUCUUUCUAUUUAUUGUCUCAUUAAUGUUUUGGGUCACUUUUGUUUCGAUUUAAUUUUUGAGUCUGAUAUAAUUGGGUUGGCAUAUAAUUGAGUUUACAUCCGAGUAUGCUUAGUUUGAUAUGUCUUCUGUCGAAUAUGUUUCAAGAUUGGUUCGUUGUCUUUUUUUUUUUUUGAAAGUUCAUAUGAUUAACCUCAUUGAUCAACUUGUAUUAAUAUUUCUGCUUUUCUUGUUUACUGCAUGAAUUAUUCUUUUUAGUAUUAAACUUGUCUUCUAGAGGUAAUUAAUGGAAAUUAAGCUAGGAAGGAAUUCAUUCCACAAAUUAUUGGGUUUUCCAUUUUGUCGUACCUUAGAUCCAUUUUAAUCUCCUAUCCUUCAGUGACUAACUUGUUCUGUUCAUAUCUAUUUUAUUCAUUCAAUAGAUUUUAAUCUAGUUUCAUAAAUUGGUUAGUAGUAAAAUAUAGGAGAUUAUGUUGGGCCAUGGUGGAUGUCAGACUAUAAUUGCAUUUAAGACCUCCAGCAUAUUUAUGGGCUAAUUAAAAGAUAAAUGAACACGAAUAAGUUAUCCCAUCUCUUGUAAAUUAAUAGCUAUCAAAGUAACUCCAAAAUAUGCUAGUAAGUUUUAGAAGAACUUUAAAUAUUAGCUCAUGUGUUCAUACAUGAACCUUAGAUUGAUAUGCUUAAGUAAUAAAAGGGUCAUGUGCGCAUUCCUGCGUCUCGAUGCCUUUAAAUUUAAAAUAAUUAUAUUUUGACCAUGUGUAUAUGUCGUACCAUGGUUUAGCAUUCAUUUUCAAAUAAAUACCUUGUGUUCAUACUGCAUCUAGGUCAAAAUAAUUAAUAAAAUAUAAUAAAUUAAGUGGUAAUAGAUAGACAAACCAUAACCAAUAAAAAUACAAGAAUAGCCAAAAAUUGAUUUAAGCUUGAUAUAAGUCAAUAAAAGCGAUCGUGCUAGAACCACGGGACUCGAGGGUUGCCUCACACCUUUCCCUCGGUCAACAGAAUUCCUUACUCAGUCUUCUGUUUUCGUAGACCAUAAAUUAUGAGUCAAACCUUCCUUUUGAUAAGGGAUUCAAAUGAAAGGUGACUUGGAACACCAAAAUUCAAUUCCAAGUGGUGACUCUAAAUAAUAAAUAAUCCCUUUUCAAAACGUCACUUCAAUUGGAAAAACUCUUCUAACUCAACCUCGCAAUAGGGUUGCGGGAAAAAAGAGGUGUGACAGCCACAAUGGAUGUUAUGGAGAAUACCCUUCCUUGUGUUUAUUUGGUGUUUUGUUUUCCCUCUGUGGGAUGAGUUAAUGAAACUAUAAUUUUGUUGUUGUAUCUAUUGUAUUUUCUAGAUAGUCCUCGUGUCUUGCUUUCUUUCUAUUUUUGUUGCCUAUCUAAGAUAUUGUUGGUUGGGUGUACAGACAGUGUUGGGAGAGAAUCCAUGUGGUUCCGUGAUGAGUUAUUAGUUGGGCUGCUUGUAUUGGCUAAGAUGAGAUUUCUAGACUUGGGAGUUGCAUUAUCGUAUCAAAAUGAGGAGUGUUUGGAGGGAUGAUGCUAUUUACGCUCAAAAUUGGGUAAUGGCCCUUAACAGACGAGAGAGCUUCUUGGCUUGUUGAUUUCAUGGGUGGUUAUGAGUUUCUUCAUGUUUCUUUUAUCAUGGACAACAUUGUGGAGCUCCGGAAUAAGGUUUUAUUCGAUAUGAAGUGUAUUACUGGUAUCCAGAUUGUUAUUAGGCAGCUAUGGCGGUAAAAAGUUAUUGCCCAGGCAUCGGAGUUGUGUGGAACAUCAUGUGAUUGUAUCCUGGGUUGGGGUUGCAGCUCGAUUCAGCUCGUACUGGCUUAUACAGUGUGUGAAUGUGAAGUUCGAGUGUUGUAAGGAAUUUCGAACGUUGGAAAAUUGGUUUUAAGGUUUAUGGGAUGAGGUCAAAAUAAUGAUCUUCAGUUAUGUCGUGUGGUCAAGCUUCCAUGGGUUAGGGUGACGUGGGAUCACUCCCAUGUAUGUGUAUGGUAAGGUCACACAGUGAUUUGAUGGCUCUGGAAUGAUCCUGGCACGUUCGAGGAUGAACGUAUGUUUAAGUGGGGGAGAAUGUAAUGACCCGACUGGUCGUUUUGGCAAUUAGCGUCCCGUUCAGUGGCUUAAGGUCUCGAACAACUUUGUAUUAUGUAUUAUGACUUGCGUGUACGGUGGAGUUCGGGUUUCGGAUGAUUUGGGAUCAAUCUGGAAGAAGGAUUCUUGUUUUUUGAAACUUAAGCGGUAAGAGUUGGUCGAAGUUUGACUUUUAUGUAGACGACCCAGGAAUGUUGUUUCGAUGAUUUAAAUAGUUUCGUAUGGUAAUUUUGGUGUUAGGCGUGCGUCAGGAUUUGGAUUUGGAGUCCGUAGGUUAACUUGAUGCAUUUCGGCAAAAAUUAGAAAUUUGAAUGUUAGAAAUAUUCGUAAGUUUUACCGAGAGUUGACUUUAUUGAUAUCUGAUUCAGAUUCUAAUUCCGGAAGUUGAAAUAGGUCUGUCAUGUCAUUUAUGACUUGUGUGCAAAAUUUAAAGUCAAUCGAAUUUAUUUUGGUAUGAAUCGGCAUUAGUUUUGGAAGUCGGAUGUUCAUAGUUUUAAUAGGUUUGAUUUGAGGUGCGAUUCGUCAUCUUGAUGUUGUAGUUUGUGAUUUGAAGCUUUGAGUAAGUUCGUAUCAUAUUUUAGGACUUGUUGGUAUGUUUGGAUGGGGUCCCGGUGAUCUUAGGUGUGUUUCGGGUGAGUUUUGAACAAGUUUGGGCAUUUCGACACUUUGAUGAUGUUCUGGAGCAGUUGAAAUACGGAGGGCACAUUUUGGAGUGAAGAGGCAAAGCCUCAUGUGCGGACCGCAGUGGAAAAUGUGCGAACCGCAGAGGAAAAGUGCGGACCGCAGCAGGGGAAAUCCGCAGGUUUGAUGGUCUGAUUUCGAAAGCUUAUAUCUUUUAAUUUAUAAGAAAUUUGGAGAUGAUCCAAGCAUGAAAGUUGUAGCUCUUUGAGUCUAGUUUCCAGAAAGUUAAAUCAUUCAUCAUUUUAAUAUUUGUACCAAAUAUUAUGGUUAAUUUACUAAAUCCUGAUAGUGCAUUUGUUGCUGAAGUGAGGCCGCACAAUUUGGAUCGCGGCCGCGGAACUCUGAAGUGUGGACCACAAAACAAAAUAUGUAGUCAACACUUUGGGAGAUCAGAUGUGGUACCAUAUAAAUGAGGGUUUCAUCUCAUUUUUUAUUUUUGGACCUAUAGAACUCUGUUUGUGGCAAUGUUUCGUAGGUUUUUCAAGUAAUUCAUCGGGGUAAGUGAUUCUAACUCGGUUUUGGCUAUAUUUCACGAUUUUAUUGUCAUUUUCAUCAUUUAAUUAGUGAUUUGAGUUGAAAAUUUGAGAAAAAUUGUAGAAACUUCAUAGGUUUUAAGUUGAGGAUUUGAAGGUUAAGUUGUGAUCGGAUUUGAGAAAUUUUGGUAUGGUUGGACUCGUAUCGAAAUGGGUGUUCGAAUUUCGUAAUUUUUUAUCGGAUUCCGAGGUGUGGGCCCGAGGUUGAUUUUUGAGUUGACUUUUUAGUGUAAAAUUAAAAAGUCGACGUCUUAUUAUUCGAAAUUGUUUUCUAUGGAUUUUAAUUAUUUUAUAAAAUUAUAUUUGCUAGAUUUGAGCCGUCUGGAAGUCGUUUCACGCGAGAAUGCCAUUUUAGAGUAUCUACCUAACUUCGUAAAGUUAAGUAUCUUGCCUAACAUUUUGUGAGGGAAACUACCCCUUAGGUUUGAGAUAAUUAUGUUAUUUGUGGUAUGUGAAAGUCGUGUGCGCGAGGUGGCGAGUGGGUACACGGCCUAUAUGUGGUAAUUGACCGGUUUCGAGCAUCUAUAUACUUCCCGUGCCUUUACUUGAUAUUUUGCACUCUUAUGCUUUAGUUGAAGAUGUUGCCUUCCUUAUUGUAUCGUGACCUCUUAAUUGUUGAGUUCCUUCUAUGACUCUGUGCUUAUCUGCUACCUGUACUAAUUGUUGUGAUUGCACAUCUUAGUUAUCAUGUGCCUUACUUGUCUUGUCAUUUUUGUAAGUUUUUUGUAUUCCUUUGAUUUUUACAUAAUUCCUUUAUUGCCGUGUACUCAUACCCUUGAUUGUAGAAAUUCCUGUAAAUUGAGUUAUUGAAUUAUUUGUGUUGAUUUAAAUUAUUAUGGAUUGGGUUGGACGCUGCAACAGGUGGAAUAAGGGAGAAUUCAUAUUGAUACGGUGGGAUCGGGUUGCGCGCCGCUACAUGUGAAAUAAGGGUGGAUUGAUAUGGUGAAAUACGGGUGAAUUAUGAAAUUGACUCUGAUUAUAUGGUGGGGUUGGGUUGCGCGCUGCAACAUAUAUUUAGUUAUUAUUAUUGAUAUUUACAUGGUGGGAUAAGGGUGGAUAGUGUUGUACGAUGGGACGGGUUGCGUGCCGCAACAGUUUAUAUGUUUUGUAUUCCUUGUUAUAUUGUGUUGGCUUUGGUUCUUUCGUACGAGACUCUGUGGAUUUGGUAGUACUGGUUUUUACUAGUUUUUGAGGAUUGAGUUGUUUUUCAUUGAUUUUAUGCCUCGCCGUCACUUCGUGUUUUUUUUUCCUCACUAUUAUUUUGCUGAAUUGAUUUUAAAGAUAAAUUUACUAUGCUGAGUCAUUUUCUCAUAUCCUUCUGAGUUGUUAGUAACAUAGUGGUUUUAAAUAAAAGAAUUAAUAACAUGUUUACCUUAUGUGACUCUUAAUUUAGCACUCGUCAUUUCAUUCGGUACUUUACUAUUUUUAAUAGUCGUCAUAUUUCACUUUAAUCGAUUUAUCAAGUUAAUCUCCUUACCCUAUCUGAUGUUUCUACCUUACUUGAAAAGGAAGUGUUAUUAUUUUUUAAUUUAAUAAAUUCUAUAUUCAAUCAGUAACUUACCAGAUACUUUAUUUUAAUUGAAAAUAUUAUUUCCUUCACCCAAAUAAUUUCAAAAAUAAACUCAUUUUUCUCAAUUGAUUUACUAUUUUAUACUAUGUUGUUAUUUUGCUUUAAUGUAUGAGAUUAAAUCUCCUGAAUAUUUUAAAGUAAUAUCUAAUACGGGUACAAGAUACAUGGUAGCACGUGGAUUUUGCUGUGCGAAACUGAUUUGAAAAAAUAUGGGCACAAGGUGCCAUGUGUGUAAGGUUUGGAAGUUAUGACUUAAAAUCUGAGAUUACAAGAUGUGAUACUCGGGGUAAUUCUUAUUGAAAUCCGUGCAUUUAGAAUGAUUUGAUUGACUGAGCUGUCAUCGGUUUCCCUUACCUGAACACAUUCACAUUGCUUCUGUACCCCGACUAUGUUAUUGUGUAAUUACUUGGAUGUUCUCAUUGCCUUUCGUGCUCCCCUUAUUUUUAUUGUUGAUUGUGAUUUGAAAUCUUUCUGUAUUUGGCCUCAUAUUGAUAUUUCUUUCUUGUUAGUUUCAUGUCAUAUCCUGCACGGGUGUUUCAUGUCCGGUAGGUAUCUUGACUUGACUUCGUCACUACUCUACCGAGAUUCGGCUUAAUACUUAUUGGGUACUGCUAUGGUGUACUCAUGCUACGCUUCUGUACAUUUUUGUGCAGAUCCAGGUACUUAUGAUCGAAUUGGUUGAAGACUUAUGUCUGCGCUGCUGGAAACUUCAAGGUAUAUAUGUUCGACGUUCGCAGGCCCCGAAGUCACUUUUUGUUGUAAUUUAUUUCCAUUGUUUCCUAUUAUUCCGGCAC